rnacentral:rRNA from 1 species
GCUGGCGGCAGGCCUAACACAUGCAAGUCGAGCGGUAACAGAUCUAGCUUGCUAGAUGCUGACGAGCGGCGGACGGGUGAGUAAUGCAUAGGAAUCUGCCCGAUAGUGGGGGAUAACCUGGGGAAACCCAGGCUAAUACCGCAUACGUCCUACGGGAGAAAGGGGGCUCCGGCUCCCGCUAUUGGAUGAGCCUAUGUCGGAUUAGCUAGUUGGUGAGGUAAAGGCUCACCAAGGCGACGAUCCGUAGCUGGUCUGAGAGGAUGAUCAGCCACAUCGGGACUGAGACACGGCCCGAACUCCUACGGGAGGCAGCAGUGGGGAAUAUUGGACAAUGGGGGCAACCCUGAUCCAGCCAUGCCGCGUGUGUGAAGAAGGCCUUCGGGUUGUAAAGCACUUUCAGCGAGGAAGAACGCCUGUCGGUUAAUACCCGGCAGGAAAGACAUCACUCGCAGAAGAAGCACCGGCUAACUCCGUGCCAGCAGCCGCGGUAAUACGGAGGGUGCAAGCGUUAAUCGGAAUUACUGGGCGUAAAGCGCGCGUAGGUGGCUUGAUAAGCCGGUUGUGAAAGCCCCGGGCUCAACCUGGGAACGGCAUCCGGAACUGUCAGGCUAGAGUGCAGGAGAGGAAGGUAGAAUUCCCGGUGUAGCGGUGAAAUGCGUAGAGAUCGGGAGGAAUACCAGUGGCGAAGGCGGCCUUCUGGACUGACACUGACACUGAGGUGCGAAAGCGUGGGUAGCAAACAGGAUUAGAUACCCUGGUAGUCCACGCCGUAAACGAUGUCGACCAGCCGUUGGGUGCCUAGAGCACUUUGUGGCGAAGUUAACGCGA